rnacentral:lncRNA from 10 species
AAGGUUUGUGUUUCUUUGGGCAGGAGCCUACUGUGAUCAGAGCUGGGGGAGCCAGUGUGAGCAGCAGGUGCAAUGAAAGGAUGUGGGAGUUUGAGACCCAUCUCUGCUGUGUGGCCCUGGCCAUGUGCAGUGGGUAAGUACAUCAGCAAGCAAACUGGCCUCAAGAAUCCCGCCCUAUCCUGGGCAUCUGGGGUUGAGGCUGGCUGUGCCAACCUUUGCACAGGGUUUCAAUCUGACCUCACUCAGAAAACGGAGCCACUUGCUUAGAGUCCCUCUCUCUGAACACGCUCUCCCCUCUGGAGGAAAAGCAUUGCAAUCCCAAGCUCCUGCUGCUGCCGUACAUCUGCAUCUUAUUCAUCUUUGAAGCUCCUGCAAUGCCUCCAACGGGGACACAACUAAAGGAAGCUCUCAGAACGCCCAGCUAUCCCCACUGCAGAAGGCUCUCCCUGAAAGGGCACAGGUGGAGGACGUUUGCAUUUAUCUGGAGACAGUUCAUGGAGAAACACAAAGAGGUGUCCUGACAAGACAACAGGUCCACAGCAGUCGUCAUCAUGAGUGCUCACCAUAUGCCAGGGUUCAUCUUUUAAAAUCCUUAACCAAACAACCAAACUGUGGUUGGGAUUAUUCUCUUUUUAUAGGUGAGAAAACUGAGGCUGAAAGCCAUUGGGUGGUUUGCCAAAGCUGAGAAGUAGCUGAGCUGGGGUUUGUACUCACACCACGGUGACUCGGAGGCCCAAGCCAGUUCUGACACACUGCCUUCCCAUGACAUUCCCACGACAGGUUCCCGAGGUCGUUGGAAUGCUUACACAUUUCAGCAACUUCAUGGCAACUGCCCAGCUCGACCCAGAAGAUAAUACUACCUUGUACUCCCCCUGCCGCUUCCUUCCUCCAGGCAGCUCACAGACAUGACCUCAUUCCCUCUCCCAGAGUCCCAUAGGGGUGAAGGACAGGGUGGGGAUCGUUAACUCUGCUUCCUAGGGAGGAAAGGGAGGCCCAGAGAGGGAUGCUGGCCCACCCUGGGUCAUCCAGCCAGCUAGCGGGAGAGCUGCAACUGGAAAUCAGGCUUCCCUGCCCUCGGGGACAGUUAUUUAGCCUCCUGGAUGUGAGCUAGAAUCACCCCUAAGAUGCAGCAAUUGGGGUACUCCUCUUGGGGUACUGGGACUCAGUGGCUGAAACAGCUCCAAGAGAGUUGGGCCUGUGCUGAAAACAGAAAUCCGAGAUGCAUAUAAAUUCAAUCCGUAUGAGAAGAGCAGGGUGGCCUGGGAGGAGUGGUCACCGCAGUGGCUCCACCUCCUACCCGGCCACCUGCAGCCCUGCCUGGGCUGCUCUUGGUCUCUCUGUGCCCAGCUUCCCUGGCCGGAUGCCCUGGGGGCCAGAGCAGCCGCAGGUGCGAUGAAAAGAACACUGGCCUUGAGGUCAUGGGACCUGGGGAGGAUAUUCACCAGGGGCCCCUAAGUUAGUCAUUUUAGCUCUCAGCUUUUCCAUUUUUCAUUCAAAAAAUGGGGACUCUAACUCCAUGAAAGAGACAUUGUGUGUGAAAUAUUUCAUCAUAAGCUGUGAAGCCUGCAAAGAAACUCCUGGUGUUCUCUGUAGCCUGAUUUCAUCUCUACUAAACGCUAUUUUGAAAAUG